CCACAGGAUAAUUGGAUAAUCGUCAGGAUGAUCUUUCAGAGACAAUCAAGAAUCGGGCCUUUGCUGACUUUGAUGGCAAAGGGGAGAAAAUGCUCAAAUUUCGGCCCUGUCAUCGGGGUGCAACGCCGUUCAAACAGCCCGAGUGAUGGAACUGGCACAUGACAGUGCCGUGCAACUGGCUGGCAACCACUCGAGUGUCAUCGUCCAAAGUCCUCUGUGAUAGGCUCCAGCUCACCCGCGACCCUGAUUUAGAACUCCGGAGCUAUCAUUAUGGUCGACUGCUAAUUGGAUACUUCCAGGCUGUGGUCUGAGCUGUGCACUCAUCGGAUGACAGUGACUUCAUAGCCACGGAUAACGGCAUUCAAACAAACAUAAACACGGUUUAUUUAAGAAUCAGUUUUUAGUAAUCGGUAAUUCCCUGAAAGUACCGCAUAAUCACGGUUAUACUUGUAUACAUUUUAAAUGAGAAAGCAGAUAUAGAUGUGAGCAGCGCCGUCUAGAUGUAAACGACUAUAGUGCUUCUGUUGCCACUGAAAUAGAAAUUGGAAGCAAUAGUGACUUUGUGCAUCAAACGUCUUAAUAAACCUGUCCAAAGAACCUUUUAUGAAUCCAUUUUGAGAAAUUGAAAAGAAGGAGAAAAAAGAGAAAAAGAAAAGUACCACUACAGGCUAGAGUGAGUGCUUGGGCAUUUUUGAGUGGCACUUAUACAACGAUGACUUUCACUAACUUUCACUGAUCAUUAAACGCAUUCAGCACUCUUAUCAACUCCAUCAUUCUUCCGAGUGAGAGUGCACUCACUAAUGUUUUGUCGUUUAUGGGCAGGGUUGGCAAUUUCGAUCAAAAAUAGAACCUUGUCAAAGAGUCAUGUUAUUUUUGUCAUAGUUUACUGAUACUGGCUCAGGGUUACUCGGGAUUUCGCCAGGCAGAAGGGCAAUAUGUGGAUCAUGCAAGCAGAAGCUGGACAGAUGAAUAGAUUUCCGAGCAAUUCCUCUCCACCUUUGACCCCCUCACUGCAGCCACCGCCACUUAUUGCUUGUUUUGUAGGUCUCGCUGCAUUCACUUGAGCCUUCUGUAAAUGAAAAGCACGCUGGGAUGAAUUCCUUCAGCUUCAACAAAUCCUCAGCCUCUUUCAAAGUAUGUUCAGGGCCAUUAGCUCUCUCUCGUCUCUUUCAUCUCACUAUUCAUUCUACUACGUCAAAUCUCGGCUCGGGCCCUCCUGUGUGGAGUUUGCAUGUUCUCCCCGUACUUGCAUGAAUUUUCUCCGGGUACUUAUGCUUCCUCUCAUAUUCAAAAAAAAGCAUGCAAGUUAGGUUAAUUAAAGACCAUAAAUUGCCCAUGUUCGAAUGUGCAUGUGAAUAGCUGUUUGUCUAUAUGUGCCACUCACCCAUAAGUCAUGUGGGAUAGUCUCAGGGACGGACACACGACAGCUGCCGAAAGGGUUUGAAAACAAGCAUCCGCAGAGUGCAGAGGUCGCAAGCCACUCAUGCAGCUGCGGCCAGACAUUUCCUGGACAUCCUGCACGUGCCAUGGAAAAACACAUCGCCUCCAAUGUUACAUUUACUGGCUUUUACCGAUCCACACAAGAAUGUGACUUUCAUUUCCCGAAAUUAAUUAAAAUAAAUGGAACAGUGAUCAAAUGCUGUAGAGACAUUAGGAAGUAAGCAAGUAAACCAUUAAGCGUUUGACAGAUUUGUCCAGUUGUGACUGUGGAAAAAAAAUUAUUCACCACACAUUUUAUUUUCAUCAGGAAACACCUGUGCAGAACGGUCCAUUUGCAUUACUGAUUUUUGUUUUCUUUUAAUAGUGUCUAUUUAAAUGCAUUUUUUUUUAUAUUUUCAUUUUCAUUAAAUGAACAGAACCAAGGAAAAACUUUGAAUAUAUACAUGGAAAAGCUUUUCUUUCAGAGGAUGAUGACA